rnacentral:rRNA from 1 species
CAGUCGCCGCGGGAAUACAGAGGGUGCGAGCGUUAAUCGGAUUUACUGGGCGUAAAGCGUGCGUAGGCGGCUUCUUAAGUCGGAUGUGAAAUCCCUGAGCUUAACUUAGGAAUUGCAUUCGAUACUGGGAAGCUAGAGUAUGGGAGAGGAUGGUAGAAUUCCAGGUGUAGCGGUGAAAUGCGUAGAGAUCUGGAGGAAUACCGAUGGCGAAGGCAGCCAUCUGGCCUAAUACUGACGCUGAGGUACGAAAGCAUGGGGAGCAAACAGGAUUAGAUACCCCUGUAGUCCUGUCUCUUAUACA